rnacentral:misc_RNA from 1 species
AAGUCGUAACAAGGUUUCCGUAGGUGAACCUGCGGAAGGAUCAUUAAUACGCUUUUGUUUGUAACAAAACAAAACGUUUUAAACUCCAAAAGAAAUAGUGGAAAUAUAACUUCCGGAUGCGAAUGUUGGGAACUGAGUCAAAUCGGUUCUUUUGGAAAGGGACUUCAAGCAAUUGACACUUCAGAGUAGAGCAGUGAGGUGUAAUUCUCUUUAUUGAGAGUUUGGUUCUGAAAAACAUUUGUAUCCGGUUAUCAACAUCUGUUCUACAACCUCCAAAAUAUCAAACAAUAAACCCCAUGUACAACAACUUGAACUAAACAUUUUUUUGUUGUCUGCUCGCGCUUUUGUGUGAGAAGAUACUACAAAGAAAAAACCUGAACUUAAGAACAACUCUUAACAACGGAUAUCUUGGUUCUC